UACAGAGGAGCCAAGCGUUGUCCGGAUUGACUGGGCGUAAAGCGCACGCAGGCGGUCGGGCGCGUGGGGUGUGAAAUCUGGCCGCUUAACGGCCAGGCGCCAUCCCAUACGGCGUGUCUGGAGUGAUGCAGAGGUCGAUGGAAUUGCCGGUGUAGUGGUGAAAUGCGUAGAUAUCGAGAGGAACACCUGCGGCGAAGGCGGGUUGCUGGGCUGACACUGACGCUGAGGCGCGAAAGCUAGGGGAGCGAACGGG
rnacentral:rRNA from 1 species